rnacentral:rRNA from 1 species
CAGCAGCCGCGGGAAUACGGAGGGUGCAAGCGUUAAUCGGAAUUACUGGGCGUAAAGCGCACGCAGGCGGUUUGUUAAGUCAGAUGUGAAAUCCCCGAGCUUAACUUGGGAACUGCAUUUGAAACUGGCAAGCUAGAGUCUUGUAGAGGGGGGUAGAAUUCCAGGUGUAGCGGUGAAAUGCGUAGAGAUCUGGAGGAAUACCGGUGGCGAAGGCUGCCCCCUGGACAAAGACUGACGCUCAGGUGCGAAAGCGUGGGGAGCAAACAGGAUUAGAUACCCCAGUAGUCCCUGUCUCUUAUAA